rnacentral:rRNA from 1 species
UGGGGAAUUUUGGACAAUGGGCGAAAGCCUGAUCCAGCAAUGCCGCGUGUGUGAAGAAGGCCUUCGGGUUGUAAAGCACUUUUGUCCGGAAAGAAAUCCUUGGCUCUAAUACAGUCGGGGGAUGACGGUACCGGAAGAAUAAGCACCGGCUAACUACGUGCCAGCAGCCGCGGUAAUACGUAGGGUGCAAGCGUUAAUCGGAAUUACUGGGCGUAGAGCGUGCGCAGGCGGUUUGCUAAGACCGAUGUGAAAUCCCCGGGCUCAACCUGGGAACUGCAUUGGUGACUGGCAGGCUAGAGUAUGGCAGAGGGGGGUAGAAUUCCACGUGUAGCAGUGAAAUGCGUAGAGAUGUGGAGGAAUACCGAUGGCGAAGGCAGCCCCCUGGGCCAAUACUGACGCUCAUGCACGAAAGCGUGGGGAGCAAACAGGAUUAGAUACCCUGGUAGUCCACGCCCUAAACGAUGUCAACUAGUUGUUGGGGAUUCAUUUCCUUAGUAACGUAGCUAACGCGUGAAGUUGACCGCCUGGGGAGUACGGUCGCAAGAUUAAAACUCAAAUGAAUUGACGGGGUCAUAGCUGUUUCCU